rnacentral:rRNA from 1 species
CCUACGGGAGACUGCAGUGGGGGAUAUUGGACAAUGGGGGGAACCCUGAUCCAGCGACGCCGCGUGAGUGAAGAAGUAUCUCGGUAUGUAAAGCUCUAUCAGCAGGGAAGAAGAAAUGACGGUACCUGAGUAAGAAGCCCCGGCUAACUACGUGCCAGCAGCCGCGGUAAUACGUAGGGGGCAAGCGUUAUCCGGAAUUACUGGGUGUAAAGGGAGCGUAGACGGUGAUGUAAGUCUGGAGUGAAAGGCGGGGGCCCAACCCCCGGACUGCUCUGGAAACUAUGUGACUGGAGUGCAGGAGAGGUGAGCGGAAUUCCUAGUGUAGCGGUGAAAUGCGUAGAUAGUAGGAGGAACACCAGUGGCGAAGGCGGCCUGCUGGACAUUAACUGACGCUGAGGCGCGAAAGCGUGGGGAGCAAACAGGAUUAGAUACCCCUGUAGUC